UUGGUAUUUCAAGGGAAGAUGGGCGAUUCCGAACAAUCCUCUGUCCCCAGCAAUGAAGGCAGCGAUGCUGAGGCCAGUGAGGACGACCAACAGCCCACCGCCGCGUAUGGUUGGGGCAGGGAGCCCAGAUACUCUGCUGAGGAGCUGCCAUCGCGUGUAACAAAUGUUGAGGAAGAAGAUGCGUCAGCAGCUGCGUCCGACAGAAGACGAGUAGCUUGGCCACCAGAAUCUCGAUUCGUUUGGGACUCCGACUGGUGCGAGCGUGGACAAAAGUGUAUAGCCAUGCCCAGCCCGCGGGAAUGAUUUUGCUGGUAGGAUGCUGCCGUCGCUGUCGACAAGACGGCCCAAGGUUUCUUGCGUAGCGGACCUCGCAGAUUACGAGAUCGUAUCCUUGCAUUAGGCUGUGCCCAUCACUGCUCUUCGAGGUUAUCUCGACAUGCAGAAGCCGCCAAUGCCAGUGACAGAAGAGUCUGACAUUAGAUCUCUACGCUAUGCGGCACACAGGCAGUACACACUAUGUACACGGCAAAUUGGGCAAGCACGUUCGUUGUCGUCUUCCAGCCUGCGUUGUGAAUACCAUCAGGCAAAGAUAUCCAAAUCCUGCACCACCUCAGCCUUCUCAGGAGGCUUCCACCUGGAGUUUGGCAGGGAAACACGCUUCUCCAAGGCAGGAACAUGGAGGUUGCCAUUUGCAACCGCUACCACCUCACACAUGAGCUUGUCAACAUACUCAUAGCUCUUUCUGUCGUAUAAUUUUCUAUUUGGCCACAGUCUUCUUUAUGCUUUGAGAACUGGACUUUAUACCUUCC